UCCCGUGUAUCGAUGACGUGG
rnacentral:siRNA from 1 species